rnacentral:lncRNA from 1 species
AUUCUGACUUAACCAAAUUCUGAAAAAAUCUUGCUUGUAGGGUUUGAUUGCAGAUGAUUUUAACAGAAAAAGCAAAUAGGUAAAAAUGAUGAUACUUCACUUUAUAUGUGAUACAUGUUUGACUCCUAAAAAAUAUUUCCAUUUUUCUUUAGAAACAUAAAAUCACGUGGUUUAUGGUUUGACAUAUGAAGAACCUGGAAGUCAUUACAAUCAUCCUCAGAACAACAACAACAACAAAAUUUUAAUAAUCUGAAAAUCAACCUCAGAAAGUGAGGAGAAGGGUGAUCUGUAGGAAUCAAUCCUUAGUGUAGACAGAAGCCCAGGAAAGGCUGCCCACCCACUGAAGUCAGCACUGCUAAGACAUGUGGUUUAGCAUUUGUCAUUAAUUUUGGGAGAUUCUCAGUCACCAUUACUUCAAAUGAGCAAGUAAGAUUCAUAUUGGGUAUGCAAGUCUGGUUCAACAGCCAACUGUGAGCCAUGUAUUCCAGCACAUCAGCAGCGGAGGGAAGAACAGAAAUUCUAUGCAGAAAUACCACACUCUUUCGUGAUUUAAAAACAAAACAACCUCAGUCAAGGAGGAAUAGAUUGGGAGCUCCUCAGCCUUACAUAAAACACCUCCAGGUAAGGUGUAAUUAAGGUUAAGUGAGGUCCUAAGUGUGGGCCCUCAUAGAAUCUGAACAACAUCUUUAUAAGAAGAGGAGGAAAGACCAAGGAUGUACACAAAGAAAAGUCCAGAUGAGGACACAAAGAAGACAGCUCUUUAUAAGCCAAGGGAGAGGACUUAGGAGAAACUAUGGCAGCCCACACCUUGAUCCUGGACUUGCAUCCUCCUGAACUGCAGAAGGUGAAUCUCCAUUAGGUCCCCAGUCUGUGGUACUUUUUUUAUAACAGCCCCAGUGAACUGGUGCAGUGCCAGAACUUACAUGAAAGAGUUGUUCAGCUCUUAUCUUUUCCUCAAUAUUAUACAAUUCCAAUGAGAUUGUUGCCAUAUUAUAGCAUCCACAGGAGUGCCUGAGACCUCACAAGUCUGAGAGGAGUGGUUGGUCCACAAUUUGAUCCAGGGCAUUUGGGUUUGAGUUAGUUUUGAUUACAUACAAAAAAAAACUUUCUUGUAAAUAUUUUUCUACUCAGAUAACAUGAAACCACUGUACAGCAUGAAUGUAAUGUGGAAUACUUAUGGUAUACAAAAUAAAAGCUGUUCGCUAGUAAUUUGCUUUCAUCUUCUGCAAGUGCAAGUGCGUAACGUAUAGCAAGGUAUCUGAUAAGUUGUAGUAAAACUUGGUCAUGAUGGACAUCAUCAUAGAGUUGGGAAUGGCUAUAUUUCACCUUAAUUGUCC